rnacentral:rRNA from 1 species
UACGAAGGGGGCCAGCGUUGUUCGGAAUUACUGGGCGUAAAGCGCACGUAGGCGGACUAUUAAGUCAGGGGUGAAAUCCUGGAGCUCAACUCCAGAACUGCCUUUGAUACUGAGGAUCUUGAGUACGGGAGAGGUGAGUGGAACUGCGAGUGUAGAGGUGAAAUUCGUAGAUAUUCGCAAGAACACCAGUGGCGAAGGCGGCUCACUGGCCCGUAACUGACGCUGAGGCACGAAAGCGUGGGGAGCAAACAGG